UUGCCAGAACAGUAUAUGUUGCAUUUAAACGUUAACACAAAUUUCAGCUUGCAGUCCGUCUCAUUUUAAAGCAGAAAAAAGGCUUCGUUAAUAGUCUAUCUGGCAACCCUGAGCACCAUAAAACUGCGUGGACAUGCAACAUGCGUGUCUAACGCGGAGGAUAUGUGUUUAACUAUAAGGAAGAUUCUACUAAAGAUAAUCACGUCAGAAGAUCAGAUGAACAGGCUUCGAAUAGCAAGAAGUUUCAUGCAGUUAUUGAUUGUUUUUACAUAAAUAUAGAUUCCAAAUAAAGGACCUUGACCUUG